rnacentral:rRNA from 1 species
AUGCCGCCCGCGCCGCCGCUCCCGUGCCGCCUCGUGCUCCCGCUCGCCGCCUUCGUCUCCGUUCCGUUCCUCCUCCCGCUCACACUCCCCCUCCUCCUCCUGCUGCGCCCCUCUGCCACUUCCCCGCACGCUCUGUCCUCCCAUCGCCUCUCCUGGCUCCCGUCGAUUCGCGUCUCGCAUCCGUCACCACCGCCACGGACGGCACGAACGUCAGCCCCGCCGGCACAAGCGACGUCGUCACCUUCUCUACCGCCGCCGCGGCCGCUGACACAGACGGCGUCACCUCUCCCACGUCCCACGCCGCCGCCCAAGGCAGCCGGCCGCGAGAAAUCCGAACGCUGCGACAUCUACGACGGGACGUGGGUCCCGGACGACGACGAGAAGCCGACGCGGCCGCUGUACGCGCCGGGCACGUGCCCGUACGUGGACGAGGCGUACGCGUGCGCGUCCAACGGGCGGGCGGACGCCGGGUACACGCGGUGGCGCUGGGCGCCGCGCCGGUGCCGGCUCCCCACGUUAAACGCGACGGACCUCCUGUCGAGGCUGCGCGGGCGGCGGCUGAUGCUGGUGGGCGACUCCAUGAACCGGAACCAGUUCGAGUCCAUGCUCUGCAUCCUCCGCGCCGCGCUCCCCGACAGGUCCAGGAUGUUCGAGACCCACGGGUACCGGAUCUCCAAGGGCCGCGGCUACUUCGUCUUCAGGUUCCCGGAUUUUGACUGCACGGUGGAGUUCGUGCGCUCGCAUUUCCUGGUCCGGGAAGGGGUGCGGCUGAACCGGCUGGGGAACUCCAACCCGACCCUCCAGAUCGACCGCAUCGACAAGACGGCCGGCCGGUGGAAGAAGGCCGACGUCCUCGUCUUCAACACCGGACACUGGUGGACGCACGGCAAGACCGCCAGGGGCACCAACUACUACAUGGAAGGCGACACGCUGUACCCCCAGUUCAACUCGACCGAAGCCUACCAGAGAGCCCUCCAGACAUGGGCGCGGUGGGUCGACAAGAACAUGGACCCCGACAAGAGCGUCGUCUUCUACCGGGGAUACUCCACGGCGCAUUUCAGGGGAGGGGAGUGGGACUCGGGCGGCUCCUGCAGCGGCGAGACGGAGCCGGCGUUCAGGGGGGCGGUGGUGGACAGCUACCCGGAGAAGAUGCGGAUCGUGGACGAGGUGGUGGCGCGGAUGCGGUUCCCGGUGCGGCUGCUCAACGUCACGAGGCUGACCAGCUUCCGCAAGGACGGCCACCCGUCGCUCUACGGCAUGGCGCCAGAGAAGAGGGGGAAGAGGAAGCAGGACUGCAGCCACUGGUGCCUCCCCGGCGUGCCGGACGUGUGGAACGAGCUCAUCUACGCGUCGCUCGUCUUUGAGCCCAACCCCAGGUCAUGGGACAAAUCAUAG